rnacentral:lncRNA from 1 species
UUUUUCUCUCUCAAAAACUAUUCUUUCAACAAAAAAUCUUUCUUUUUCUGGCGGUUGAUGCUCCAAAGGGCCAAAAUUGACUCUGCCAAUAACUAGAUAAAACAAUCAUGGAGUCAGAAACAAACAUAUUGGACAUUGCCAGGUAAUUCUGAAUUUGUAGAUGUUAAAAGAAGAAGGAAAAAAAUUUGACUAAUGCUAAAAGAAGAAUUAAACAUGAAUUUAGGGGAAUAUAUAGCUUGAAUCUAAAAAGCCUUAUAGCAAAAGGAGGUUAUCAAAUCCAGAAAAGGUAUUUUUAUAUUAGAGCGAGAAACAGAGCCCCAUGAGAUGGGCAUGCAUCUAAGUUGUAUAUUUAAUCCUGGAAAGGACCUUCUGCUUUUAAAAUCAAAUUAUUAAAUCAAGCAUAACAAUUCUACUAUCCAAACUUUCUUCCCAACACUCUUAGAGGGAAUUUGGAAUAACUUAUUUGUACUUAUAUUACCACAUAAUUUGUGUAAAUAUUUGAAAGAGCUUGUAAACAAUAUAUUUUUCAACUUAUUUUCAUAAGCUCUCCAAGAUAGCUUAUAGAAACAUCUUAGGCAUAAACUAUGUAGAGUGUACCCUCGCUUUCUCUUCAUCUAUAAAAACUCGUACAUAGAAUCUUAUAUGAUACGUGCUUACUAAAGACAUGAUUAAUUAAGUUGGUUACCAAAACUUCCCCUCACUCCAUACUACAUGAUUGAAAAUAGUUAACUAAUAAAGGAGUGGUUCUAGGUAUGUUGAGAGUUCUAUCUCCUCAAAGAUGGUGGGUUUUUCCCAAUCGACAACUGUACUAUUCCUACCAGUUUUAAACUUCAUGUGUAACUUUGUGUAUAGCAAGUAGCCCACAGCGUUGGGAUUAGGUUGUGAUUUGGGACUAAAUGUGGUGGAAGGUUGAGAUUUAGUUUGCUGUGUUGUUUGGAAAGGAAGGUGGUUUCAUAGGCAGGCUCAAGUCACUUCUUGUUAGAAAUAAAAUCUAAUGGAUGGACUAUGUCAAGGAUUUGGCUCCUCUAAAAUAAGGAAUUUAACUGACAAGAAAAAAGGUGAGGAGUUAUAGACAUUGAUUGGAUAUAACCUGUUGCCUUUCCUUCUAAGGUAAACCCUUCAAUUUAGAGAAGUCAGAUUACUAAAUCUCAGACUUGGAAAGGAAGGGGGUUUUAUUUCACAAUUUUGAAGUUUCAAAACCAUACAUGUUGGGGAGGGUGAAUUGGUCAUUCCAUUCCCCUUAUGAAUACUAGUUAGCAUUAUAUCCGGUGGUAGUCAGAAACUUAACACUCUUCUCAUGGUGGUGGAUUACCAUCACUGCCUAAAGUAACAUUAGACCCCAAAAGCGAUGUCUUAAACAAAUUAGGCUUUGUCUAAUACGAAAGACUUCAUCAAAUCUUUUACCGUGCACAAGUCAUGAAUGACAUUAUAAUGAAUACGAAUUUUACAAAAUCAAUAUGACCAUAAUCUAGACCAAAGGUUUGACAAUCAAUAUGACUAUAAUCUAGACCAAAGGUUUGACAAUCAAUAUGACCAAUUGCAGUCUUGUCAGAAAGUAGGAGAACAAGUUCCCGAUUGUCGUUGUGUUGGAGUGUAGUACUUCAAUUUCAUCCAAUAUCAUCUAGCGCCACUUGGGACCAGCUAUGACUCCACCUAUAGGCUUGGGAAUAAACACCAAAGCAGAGACAAAGGACAGUACAGAGGAGAUACACAAUCAUAAUAAAAAGUACAAAUUUGGAGAGGAUGAGGAUUGUGAGAUGAACGAAUACCUGUAUGUAAUCCAAUGGGAAGUUCAAGUGCAUGUGACGUAGGUGGGAGGGUGGUUGGAGCAGGAAAUGAGGCUAGAGAAUCAACAGAAAUAGAAUGAAGUUCAGUUGGAAUUUGAGUCUGAUGUUGGUAAGUUAGCAAAGGAGGUGGAGCAUAAGCAACUAUUGGAGGAAUAUGCAGAAGGUCCUAGA